GACGAACGCUGGCGGCGUGCUUAACACAUGCAAGUCGUACGGUAAGGCCCUUUCGGGGGUACACGAGUGGCGAACGGGUGAGUAACACGUGAGUAACCUGCCCACAACUUUGGGAUAACGCUAGGAAACUGGUGCUAAUACUGGAUAUGUGCUCCUGCUGCAUGGUGGGGGUUGGAAAGCUCCGGCGGUUGUGGAUGGACUCGCGGCCUAUCGGCUUGUUGGUGGGGUAGUGGCCUACCAAGGCGGCGACGGGUAGCCGGCCUGAGAGGGUGACCGGCCACAUUGGGACUGAGAUACGGCCCAGACUCCUACGGGAGGCAGCAGUGGGGAAUAGUGCACAAUGGGCGCAAGCCUGAUGCAGCAACGCCGCGUGCGGGAGGACGGCCUUCGGGUUGUAAACCGCUUUCAGCAGGGACGAAGCUUUUUGUGACGGUACCUGCAGAAGAAGCACCGGCUAACUACGUG
rnacentral:rRNA from 1 species